UGUUAAAUAAAUUUCCCUCUCUUUUUUUUUUGUUUGUCCACUACUUCUUAUACGUAAUAAAUCUAAAAUUAUGAUAAACCUAGAAAAAAAUCUAAACUAAGAAUAGGAAUUUUUGACGAAGGUGUCGAGGAUCAUUAUUAUUUCGACACAAGAAAGAGAUGUGGAAAAUUCCUUUCUUGUGUGGAAGACUAGGAAGACGAAUAACCCUUCCUAGAAUCAUUUGUUUCCCUCAUUUCAUUUAUCCUUUGCUUUAUAUUCUACGCUUUAGAAAGGAGGUUAUAGAGGAGGUCAUCAUAGUCCUAAAGAAAGACAUAGAUAACAUUUAUCCAUUGUUUAAGACGGAAGUAAUCACAGUUUAUAUAUUUAUUUUGAAUAAUCA
rnacentral:lncRNA from 1 species